rnacentral:lncRNA from 1 species
UCACCCAGGCUGGAGUGCAGUGACGUCAUCUCGGCUCAGUCAGCUUCCACAUCCUGGGCUCAAGUGAUCCUCCCGCCUCGGCCUCCCAAAGCUCUGGGAUCACAGGCGGAGCCACCGCAUCGGUCCAACCGUUGCGGUUCGUGCCAGGUGGUCGGCUGGCCAUCACCGUGCCCUUGUCACCUGUGUCUCCAAGCCCUACACACCAUGAGGGUGUGCCCAAGGGCGUUGUAGAACGCUCUGGCCACAGUGUGGGGAUGGGAGCUCCCGCCGACAGACUCUGUUGCUUUCUGGCUUGA